AGCAGACAUAGACAUUUGAGCUAGUAAUCAGUCAUUUUUGUAAGCAUACAACUAUUCCAAGUUGAUGAAGGCCAUCAUGUAAUGGGAGAAUCACAAGGCAAAAGGUACUUAUCCUGUCAAAGCAAAUCUUAAAGAUCAAAAUAUGUUUUGUCAGGAAAAACAAAAAAAGUCACGGAUUGAAAAUACCAGUAAAAUAACCAGCCACGGUUGUGAUGAAUUAACAAGAACAAUAUGAUUGCAGGAAUUUUUUUCUUUCAUUGUGAUGAGGUAUCUGACUAUCAUCAUGAAGCCUCGACAAUUAUGAUCGACAAUAGAGUAUGUGACUGUCACUUGAACUACUAACCAUUGUUCUUUUAGCCAGACUCAGUG
rnacentral:lncRNA from 1 species